CGCCCUGCGCCUCGUCCUCCGGGUCGGCCUCGAGGCCGGUGUCGGCGCGCUGCAGGGGCCGCGCGUCAGGAGGGGGGUACUGUCACGAUUCCUACCGACGGUGGCGCCCCCUCCUGCUCGGGUGGCGCUCGGCGGUCGUCGUCACCGGCCUAUUAGCUACCACCGAUUCCCUUUUUGUUUUUCCCUUUUUUAUGUUUUCUCACCUGCCCUGAGUUAGGCAAUUAAGAGGGCUAUUUAGUUCAGCUGGCCCGCACCCUAUUGUGCGGGAUUGUUUUUCUGUGUGUCGACUGCGUUUGUUCGACUGUGCUUGUCUAUUGUAUUUUUCCCUGUUGUUGGGAGACCUUUUAUUUUGUACUGGUGGUCCCAUUAAAAUUACCACACAGUGUUCGCUGCUUCCUGCGCUUCUUUCCGCCACACUACAGACAAGACGUUACAUUAUCAUUGGGAUUGAAAAUUCUUGUGACAUGUAUUCAAUAUAGACAAGAAAAAUACAAUAAUUUGUGUUGUGUUAUUAGUUUAAGCAGACUGUGUUUGUCUAUUGUUGUGACUUAGAUGAAGAUCAGAUCAAAUUUUAUGACCAAUUUAUGCAGAAAUCCAGGUAAUUCCAAUGGGUUCACAUACUUUAUCUUGCCACUGUAUAUAAAACACCAUUGGUCAAUCUGUUAAAAAUGUGUAAACUUCAUCUAUAUGCGGAUGAUAGCAUUAUGUAUGCUGUUGCCCUGAUUGUUGAUCAGGAUGUCUCAAAACUACAGUCAGAUGUUAUAGCUAUGCAGAAAUCCCUUGCGGAUUUAAAACAAAUUACAUGUUGUUUUUUUUUAAACUCUCGUAAGAAUGUUUCUGAUUUAACUAAAUGUUCACUCGUUAGAUGGUUUACCAAUGAAAUGUGUUCCUGCAUUUACAGUGCAUUCGGUAUUCAGGCCCCUUGACUUCUUCCACAUUUUGUUACAUUACAGUCUUAUUACAGUCUCAUUAUAGCCUCAUUACAGCCUCAUUACAGUCUUAUUACAAGUUCAUUAAAGCCUCAUUACAGCCUCAUUACAGCUUCAUUACAGCCUCAUUACAGCCUCAUUACAGCCUCAUUACAGCCUCAUUACAGCCUCAUUACAGUCUUCAUUAAAGCCUCAUUAAAGCCUCAUUACAGCCUCAUUACAGCUUCAUUACAGCCUCAUUACAGCCUCAUUACAGCCUCAUUACAGCCUCAUUACAGUCUUAUUGCAGUCUCAUUAUAGCCUCAUUACAGCCUCAUUACAGUCUUAUUACAGCUUCAUUAAAGCCUCAUUACAGCCUCAUUACAGCUUCAUUACAGCCUCAUUACAGCCUCAUUACAGCCUCAUUACAGCCUCAUUACAGCCUCAUUACAGCCUCAUUACAGCCUUAUUACAACCUUAUUUUCUUCAUCAAUCUACACACAAUAGCGCAUAAUAAUAUUUUUUUUCAAAUGUAUAAACAUUUUCAACUGAAAUAUCACAUUUACAUAAGUAUUCUGACCCUUUACUCAGUACUUUGUUGAAACACCUUUGGCAGCGAUUACAGCCUCGAGUCUUCUUGGGUAUGACGCUACAAGCUUGGCACACCUGUAUUUGGGUUGUUUCUCCCAUUCGUCUCUGCAGAUCCUCUCAAGCUCUGUCAGGUUGGAUGGGGAGCGUUAGUGCCCAGCUAUUUUCAGGGCUCUCCAGAGAUGUUCGAUCGGAUUCAAGACCUGGCUCUGGCUGGGCCACUCAAGGACAUUCAGAGACUUGUCCCGAAGCCACUCCUGCGUUGUCUUGGCUGGGUGCUUAGGGUCGUUGUCCUGUUGGAAGGUGAACCUUCACCCCAGUCUGAGGUCCUGAGCGCUCUGGAGCAGGUUUUCAUCAUGGAUCUCUCUGUACUUUGCUCCGUUCAUCUUUCCCUCUAUCCUGACUAGUCUCCCAGUCCCUGCCGCUGAAAAACAUCUCCACAGCAUGAUGCUGCCACCACCAUGCUUCACCGUAGGGAUGGUGCCAGGUUUCCUCCAUAUGUGACACUUGGCAUUCAGACCAAAGAGUUCCAUCUUGGUUUCAUCAGACCAGAGAAUCCUGUUUCUCAUGAUCUGAGAGUCUUUAGGUGCCUUUUGGCAAACUCCAAGUGGGCUGUCAUGUGCCUUUUACUGAGGAGUGGCUUCCGUCUGGCCACUCUGCCAUAAAGGCCUGAUUGGUGGAGUGCUGCAGAGAUGGUUGUCCUUCUGGAAGGUUCUCCCAUCUCCACAGAGGAACUCUAGAGCUCUGUCAGAGUGACGAUCGAGUUCUUCGUCACCUCCCUGACCAAGGCCCUUCUCCCACGAUUGCUGUUUUGCCAGCUCUAGGAAGAGUCUUAGUGGUUCCAAACUUCUUCCAUUUAAGAAAGAUGGAGGCCACUGUGUUCUUGGGGACCUUCAAUGCUGCAGAUUCUUUUUGGUACCCUUCCCCAGAUCUGUGCCUCAACACAAUCCUGUCUCGGAGCUCUAUGGACAAUUCCUUCGACCUCAUGGCUUGGUUUUUGCUCUGACUGACUUGCACUGUCAACUGUGGGACCUUAUACAGACAGGUGUGUGCCUUUCCAUAUCAUGUCCAAUCAACUGAAUUCACCACAGGUGGACUCCAAUCAAGUUGUAGAAACAUCUCAAGGAUGAUCAAUGGAAACAGGAUGCACCUGAGCUCAAUUUAGAGUCUCAUAGCAAAGGGUCUGAAUACUUAUGUAAAUAAGGUAUUUCUGCUUUUUAUUUUUAAUACAUUUGCAAACAUUUC
rnacentral:lncRNA from 1 species